GAUAGCAAGACUCAGCUCGUGUGCAGCAACAAUUGCAGAACUAGUCCAUGAAAGGAUAAAAUCCUAGCCAUGCUGGAUCAGAGGAGAUCUCCUGUCAGAUUCAGAGGCAGUUUUAUCCAAGAGAUUGAGCUUGCUGAAGAACUUGCCAAGAGUAUCAAACCUAGGAAUACAAUGAUGCAAUGGAGACAAUAUUUGAAGCAGCCCUUGAUCUUGGAAAACUUGGUGGAGUUAAUGAGGUUAUGGAGGACAUAGAGAACGCGGGAAACCAAUACUCAAAAGCGGUGCGUUUGCUGGUAUUCCUUCUAGUAGAAGCACCAAUGCUGAUUCUAAAUCCGCCAUCGUCUCUCACAAACUCAGAUAGGUAUCGUCUCAGCAGAAGACUAAAACCAUCUGCAAUCACAAAGAAGAAGCUCAGGUUCUCAGGUGUCAUCAUCAGCCACGAUGAACAAACAACCAUAACCAUUUACUCUGUUUGGCUUCUCUUGUUUCUUCUCCUGUUUUUUUUUUCCUACCUAAAACAGAGAAAAAUGUAAGUAUUUAUACAUCAAAAUCACAUGUAUUCUUAUUCUUUUGGAUCUCGAGGGACUUUGAGGGAUAUGAUCAGUGUGAUGAAUGUUGUAACAUGUUCUUUGUUCUAUCAUAGAUUAAAGUGAAAUGUUUCUAGAGAGAGCAAGAUGGUGGAAACAUCAUUCAUCAAGGGCGAGAAAAGAGAGGCAAAUCCAAAGACUCAAGAGAUCAAACGACUUAGACACAAAACAGAUGGUGAAAUCUAAAUCGAAGUAACCCAAAAAAAAAAAAAAAAAAAAAGAUGAUUACAUAAUGAGAAAGAUUUUAAGAUCCAUUAUCAACGGAACACGUCACUAAAACACAACCACCCCACUAAACAUGGUUUACUAUAUAAGAAUCAUCAAAGCAGUAAGAGUCUUAAGACACAAACAAAACAAGAAGAAGCAUGAAGUGUUGUAAGUUUACUGCAUUGGCUUUGAUGAAUCUUCUAAUCACAUUGGUUUCCAUUGAAUCAAUCCUGGAGUUGCAAUCGCUAUUCCCAAACGUUGUAACAUCCGCAACCGCCCAGCUGGCAAGCGAUGUGGACGUAUGGAUUCGAUUCUUCUAAGUCUCAUAAGUAAAGUGUAUAAUAUAUGAACUUCUUGACUUACCUUUUACAUGUCUUGAUAUGUGUUUGCAGGUUACAUUGUUCCUUGAAGAUUUUAACUCCGGCUUGGAUCUUUUAAGAUCAAAAUGAUGAGAAGUUCUUGAGAUUUUAAAAUAAAUGUUUUCACUUACCUUUGUAGAGGAGAAAUGUGAACUAUGUAACCUGAAUAAUCUAUGUUGUUGGACUAUAUAUGAAUAUGCAUUAUUUGCUGCAAUAUAUGAAUAAAGUGUUUUCUGUUUCA